GGCUGGUAUAUUUGUAAAGAUAUAAAUAAUAAUAUUAUAUACAAUAUGAUUAUAUAUUUUUUAGCUUUUUCCAGAAACAACUGCAAAUUUGACACGAAAAAGCCCUGCUCAGACAACCAUUUUUUUUUAAAACAACCAUGUUUACUUAUAAUCAUAUUACAAUGAACAUUUUGCAAAUUUUAAUACCCUUCACAACACUCUUCAUGAGUUUACAAUUUAGAAAUUGUGUAACAAAAAAGGAUGUAUUUACAAUAGUACAUCUUUAAUAAAAACAACACAUCUUCAAACAACAACAUUAUAUCUGUAAACAACAACAAC
rnacentral:lncRNA from 1 species